UACGGGGGGGGCAAGCGUUGUUCGGAAUUACUGGGCGUAAAGGGCUCGUAGGCGGCAAACUAAGUCGGACGUGAAAUCCCUCGGCUUAACCGGGGAACUGCGUCCGAUACUGGAUGGCUUGAAUCCGGGAGAGGGAUGCGGAAUUCCAGGUGUAGCGGUGAAAUGCGUAGAUAUCUGGAGGAACACCGGUGGCGAAGGCGGCAUCCUGGACCGGUAUUGACGCUGAGGAGCGAAAGCCAGGGGAGCAAACGGG
rnacentral:rRNA from 1 species